rnacentral:rRNA from 1 species
UACGUAGGGGGCAAGCGUUGUCCGGAUUUAUUGGGCUUAAAGGGUGCGUAGGCGGUCUAUUAAGUCAGUGCUGAAAUAUCCCGGCUUAACCGGGAGGGUGGCAUUGAUACUGAUGGACUUGAGUGCAGUCGAGGUAGGCGGAAUUGACGGUGUAGCGGUGAAAUGCUUAGAUAUCGUCAAGAACACCGAUAGUGAAGACAGCUUACUAGACUGUAACUGACGCUGAGGCACGAAAGUGUGGGGAUCAAACAGG